GUACUUACCUGGCAGAGGAGAUACCAUGAUCACUAAGGUAGUUCUCCCAGGGCAAGGUUUAUUCAUUGCACUCCCCAUGUGCUAAACCCUGCAAUUUCCCCAAAUGUGGGAAACUCAACUGCAUAGUUUGUGGUAGUGGGGGACUGCGUUCGAGCUUUCCCCUG